GGGGUGCUCGAGUGGCGAACGGGUGAGUAACACGUGAGUAACCUGCCCUUGACUUUGGGAUAACUUCAGGUAACUGGGGCUAAUACCGGAUAGGAGCUCCUGCUGCAUGGUGGGGGUUGGAAAGUUUCGGCGGUUGGGGAUGGACUCGCGGCUUAUCAGCUUGUUGGUGGGGUAGUGGCUUACCAAGGCUUUGACGGGUAGCCGGCCUGAGAGGGUGACCGGCCACAUCGGGACUGAGAUACGACCCAG
rnacentral:rRNA from 1 species